AUGGAUAAAUGGACAGAAAAUCAUGCAUGUAUAUACACAUAUAUAGAGACAUACAGAAAGUUAGACCAAGAGAGAAACAGAGAAAUAUUGGUAGAGAGAUAUAAAGAUAGAUAUAUCGAUAUAUGGCAGGAUAGAUUUAUAGCUACAUACAUACAUACAUACAUACAUACAUACAUAUAAUGGAGACAGAUGGAUAAAUAGGUAGAUACAUAGAUAGACAUACCACACAGAGAGGCAGAUAGAAAGAUAUAAUGACACCUAGACAGAGAUGGAUGGAUAAAUACAUGGAUGGAUAGAUAUAUAGAGAGAUACAUUCAUACAUAUGUACAUACAUAUGUAGGCAGACAGACAAAAAGACAGAGAAAGAAAAAGAGAGAGAAUGAUUGGUAGAAAGAAAGAUAAAACAAUAGAUGAAUGCAUAGAUGGAUGGAAAUAGGAAGAUAGAUGGAAAGGGGUAAAGAAACAUAGAGAUAGAUGGAUGGAUACAUAGUCAGGCAGAGAGGUGGAUAUAUUGAUACAUGGGUAGAUGGAUAGAUUGAUACAUACAUGGAGAAACAGUCUAGAUAGAGCUAGGUAAAGAGACAGAAAGAAGGAGAGAUUGGGAGAAAGAGAGUUUAGGAAUGAGAGAGAGACUCUCUUUGUGUGUAUGUAAAUGUACACAAAUAUAUAUGUAUAGAGUGAGUGUUAUAGAAAGAUAUAUUACUUUUCUGUGUUUGGAUACAUAAGUGACAGGGAGUGAUAGAGAUUAUAAAAUACAGAGGGGAGAGGGAGAGAGGGUCCAUGUGGGAGGGGGGGGAGGGAGAGAGAGAGAGAGAGAGAGAGAGAGAGAGAGAGAGAGAGAGAGAGAGAGAGAGAGAGAUGGACUAUAGCUAUUUGGAUACACAAAUAGAUGGAUAGAUAGAUGGUUAGAUGAGUACAUACAUACAUACAGAGACAAAGAGACAGAAAGUUAGAUAAAGAGACAGAAAGAUAGAGAGAAAGAAGUAUUAGUAGAAAGAUAUAAAGAUAGAUGGAUGGAUAAAAAGAGAGAGAUAAAUAGACAGAAAGCAAUUAUACAUAGACAAAUG
rnacentral:lncRNA from 1 species